CUCUGGAAAGAAUGAUGAGUCUGUGAAGAAGUCCGAGGAACCUAGCCCCCAGACGGAUACCCCCGGGGGUGAGGGGAGCCUUUGAUCUCGUGGGGCAGCCAGGUGAGGUGAGUUAUGUCCUCCCUUCUAGGACUUCAGCAGGACUGCGGGAAUUCCUGCUUGAAGUGAAAAGCAUGCCUCCGUUCUGGUGUCAGGCUUUGAAAUCCAAUUUUCUCCAAGUUUUCCAAAGGUCCUAGAGGAAAUAAGACCCUUUCCUGUGUCUGGAACUUUAGUCUUUCUGAGUAGACCACUCCCUCAGAUUCCCUUGGUUCCCCUACCCCAGAUGGCAAUUGGUGGUUCUCGAAAGCUCUACCACUGCUGUGGCCCAUGUGUUAACGAUCGUCUGUUCGCUGCUGUUAGGCCUGAACCCUGCCAGGCUUGUGGAGCUCGGAACCAGGGAUCUGAGAGCACAGCCAAGCUGCACCCAUGCGGGUUUUCUAUGUUGAGCAUAUCUUACAAAGGGGUCCCUACCUGGCCUACAUUUUCAGGGUUCAGACCCACCAAAUCAGUUGAGAUAAAUGCAGACAUGAAGAUGCGUUUUCUUUUCCUAGAGGAACAAAAGAAGAACAUGUGUCAAAUGAGCACUUGGGGGGCCAUUUAAUGCCAGCCUCUUGCUCCCAUUCUAGGAGACAGACCACCAGCACCCACAGCCGGGAAGGCACCCCCUGCAGCCAGGCUUGUGUGUGGAGAAGCACAUGGCUCUGUAGGAGAAAAAGGUCUUGGGGCCUCUUUUCAAAACCAGCCCUGAGUAUGUGGUAUGAUUUAGAUUUGUUCAUAAAAACAAUCCAGUUGGUUUCUGUCAAUAGCAUUUGAAUUGCUUCUCAGAUACUUAGUUCUUGCAGGAUGCUUUAUGAGACUGCACGCAGGCUGCGUUUCCCAAAGUCUGGCCAGCUGUACCAUUUUCUCCUUUCCAGAGCAGGGGUGGAGACAGAGAAGAGGUGAACGCAUGCCUACUAAACUGAUUUUCACUGCUAAUCUCAUACUUCCAUGCUGCAUGACUUAGCUGCUAUUUUAAAAGACAUUCUCUGUAUUUUCUCUUUCUUCCAGUUUUUAUUUCCUAUAGGAAGUUGUUUUGGAAUUGACUUAAGCUUUAACACAAUAGGCUCAUCCCUACAGGGACCCUUUUCAGGAGCUCAGGGAUGGCAUCCUCAUGGAGCAUCAGCCUGACAGAUGUCACUUGAGCAGGAAGCAGGGUACAGGAAUGCAAAACGUGUUUUAUACAAAAUUGCCCAUUUUCUUCAUUCUCCUGCAGCUCUGGCUUAUGGAAUUCUCUCAAUAACCUAUGUCAAUACAACCUUGCUCCUAAGAGUCUUGGAGUCUUGGCUACAGGAAAGCUAUGAUAGACAAUUUGCAGGGGACCGUGAAGAGUAGAGCUAGGCAGGUGUUGUUUGCUGUGGACCAGUCUUCCUUGCAAAUGGCACUGAUUGAGAUUGGGAGUAGUUUGGGGAAUGAAAUAAUAAUAUGAAUAAUACAAAAUAAAAUCUCUUUGCUUGAUCUUAUUUGAACUGGGUACUGGUUUAGGCAAAGCAUAUUUUUCUCAUUUUCCUCCGACCUCCAGAGACACCUUCUCAAACAUCACUCUCAGGCCAGCAGAAAGGAAAUGAUACACUGUGUUUUGCCAAGACUGAUCUGGGCCAUCUUCUGUAUUUGCAAAUAGCAACCUACAAAGGGGGUUGGUACAUAGACAAGUAGUAGAGGAAGAUAGAACUAGACCAGAGUCCUGGCUCUACCAUCUGUUGGCUAUGAGACCCCAGGCAAACUUGUUAAGCCUUUGUUUUCUCCUCCAUAAAAUGGACACAAUAAUAUUUAGCUAUGAAUAUCAAUCAAUACAAAGCACAUAAAUUGUUUAGCAUAAUGCUUGGUCAAUAGUAAAUGCUUAACAAGCAGUGGUAAUGUUAGUGCUAUUAUUUGAUCACAUUGUUAGCUUUCCCCAAUAUGCUCCCUAAAGGAUGAGAAUGAUUCCGAUUUGUCAUCUAAAAUCUUGCCUUCUCUAAGUCUCACCCGUAGGUCUUGAUUCUGACAUUGAGCCCCUUGAAAAUGGGCUUGACCCGCACUGCGGUGUCUCCCUAGGCAGAGUUGGUGCUGGCAGCCACAAUUUACCAUUUAGCACCACGGUGACUUGCAGAUAAAGCACCAGAAACACCUGCAUGGAAGGCUCUUCAAACCAAAUGCAAGCAGUAAACUCAGACUCAAACCAUGGAGAUGGAAUCGGAUCUCCUCACAAAAUUACAACUUGGAUCUUUGGCAGAAAUCCUUAGUGAAGCUUGGGAAGACUCUCCUUUGAGGUAAUCCACAGUGGGGGUGUGCCAGUGAGGAGAAGAAGAGACAUGCAAGGCUAGAAACUGAGCUGAUGGUUUCUUGGCCUUGUAAUUACAUUGGAAGGAUUCUGUUUAAUGAAAUCUCUUCCAUUUAUACUGUGUCCCAGUACUGUUUGGAGAGUUUUAGAGCUUAUGAUGGAAGAUGGGCACAGCCAAGAGGUAAGGUUGAGUCGUUCCAAUCUCUGGAAUGACUGGCGACAGUGGGGUGUUGAAUCACUCUAUUGUACACCUGAAACUAUAUUAUGCUUUAUGUUAACUAACUGGAAUUUAAAUAAAAACUUUUUUUUUUAAAGGGGACAGUAGAAAUGAGUAUAUAUUCUUUCUAAACCCACUGAGUUUUGAGACAUGCUCAGGUUAUGAUUGACAUUCACAUGAGAACCUUCAGGUCAUCUUAAAAAGGCCUGUCCCAGAUCCUCCAGGUUGGCUGUGGAGGGAGGGGCAGCUGUAGCUCAGAGGUCACAUCUCCAAGAUUCACCUGAGCUUGGGUAUCUCAUUGCUCAGACCACAUUAUGGCUCUAGGGAUGGUACCCUGCUGUUGGUCUCUUCCUCAGGAAUGUGGACGGACGGUCUCCUUAAUUCCCAGUUAUGUGGUAGAGAACAGGGUAUAAUGUUAAUGAGACUUGAUUACAUUUGAGGAAUAAUAGAAGAGAAUGAAAGUGUAGAAAAUAACACAUAACUGGCUCCAGAGAGAACGAUACCUUCCCUUCAGGAAGACCUUCCACCCAAUCAAGGGGGUGGGCAGCCUGAACUUAGAGCCCCCAAAGGGCAACCGCACAAAACAGAGUAGCCCCAAAUGUAUGGAGUUGUCCAACAAAUACGGUGAUCCAACUUGUACAUGCCUGAAUGAUACAGGGAAUGGGGGAAGGGGUGUCCUCACGAGCUGCAUAACUUUCCUCUGGGAGCUUCUUCAGUCCAUAAAAAUGGCGUUCCUCCUCUGGAGGAAUUGGGAAAAAAAUAUUUGAAAACUGCCUCCAGCUAUGAUGUAGAAAUCAUUAUGCACAGUCUGGAUUAGGAUUCCAGGGACAAAGCAAUCGUGAGCAGGUCAGAGAGGCAGGUCAUGACUGGAAAACCAAAUGAGGCCACUGCUAGAUUCUCAUGCAUCCACAAGAGAGCUUCAUUCUUUGGCUUCUAGAGCCAUAGAGAUCUACUUCAGUGGUGAGCAAGUUUGAAGAAUGCUCCAGAAAUCCUAGCAGUAUUUUUGUCAUGUAAGGAAAACAUUACUUUUAUUACUUUUUUCAGUCAAGGGCCAGUCCCAUAGGACCCUAUUGCCGGAUUUUUAUUAUGCCUCAGUGUUUUUGAAUACGUUCAUAUAUGCCGUCCUGUUCAAUCCUCACAGAAGCCCUGUGGGACCAGCAGGGCACGUCGUAUUUCACAGGUGGGAAAGCAUAGCAGCACAGGUGAGUCACUCAGCAAGUGACAGAGCGGUGGAUGCCUUGUGACCGGACCUGGUGUUUGUCUCCUUAGCUCAGGCCUUCUCCAGCUAGUUCUGAGAACAGGCCAACUGGAAGCUUCUCGUUCAGACAGUCCCCAGAGCUGGGACAUGAUCCUUCUGGUCACGGCAGUCUGGUGCCUUUUUAGAUCUCACAAUUCCUUAUGAGCUCUUAGUUGCCCAGGUCUUUUUAAAGAUCACUUGAAAAGGUUCAACUCCAUGCAGACUCUCCUCUGAAACCUUUCCUUUGGUCAUUCCGUGCUCACCCCUCCCUCUGGAGGUACAGAAUAAGAGAAUGUACUGGGACAGAGAAGCUGGCCUGACUCUAGUUUACUGGCUAGUGCCCCUGGAGUCCCCUGUUUAGUUUGUGUUGGCUUGUUUAUGGCUCAGAGAAAUGGCCAAACACGCUUUUCCUUAAAAUGUUUUUUUCUGUGAACAACACUGACACCCUCUUCUGUCAACUGUGUUGAGUCUGUGUCAUGUGUUCAAAUUCCAGAAACUCUCAUUUCCAUGUGUUCCAUGUGUUCCUGUGUUGAGUCUGUGUCAUGUGUUCAAAUUCCAGAAACUCUCAUUUGGCUCAAGGCAGCUCUGUGCAGAGAUAGUUUUGACGCUUCCCGCCUGGGGCUCCAUUCUUCUGGCCACUUCCACAGAACAACUGGGAGCAUCACAGGCCCCAUUUCAGGGUUCAGAGAGAAGGUUAUCCAUGAAGGGCAGGUCUGGCCUGAUGGGGACAUGAUCUACAAUUGCACCAUUCCGCUGGGGGAAAUGCAGGCUAAGAAGAGCCCUCUGGUCUAGGCACUAAAGAGCUGAAAGCACUUGAGAAUUUUUUCCUGGUGGAAGUGCAGUCACUUGAAGAUGGUCUCAUGCCACCACCCGGGUGAGGGAGCACCCCGCCCUGUGAGCCGCUGCCGCUGAAGCCCUGGGAUCUGGUCCUUUGAAGGGGGCCCCACUUUCUUGACCCGCGCUGUUUGUCCUGCGGCGGCCACAACACAGCGCCGGCCGGUGCCCUGCCCCUGUGAACCUGCAGCUUUGCCUGCAGCUGGUGGAAGGAAGCUUGUUCUCCCCAGGCCGCCAUUUCCGCUCCAUCGCUCAUUGUUCCUAGAGUUAGUUACCACAUUGGUGGUUCAAAGCCAUAAUCUUCUUUUGCUCUCAUUUUGGAGUCCGUGUUUUCCCCAUCCGCCUCUAUUAUCCUGAGAGCCUUAUUUUUCCUCUUGAUCCAAACCAAACACUGUUUAUCAGUCAUAGGAAGGGCUUUGCAGGGUUCCUGCCCACAGUGCAGAAUGAUACACAGAGCUUCCUGUGCAAGCGUGGCCCUGCGCCAACACCGUGGAACAGGCUGCGGGGGCAGGUCGGAGUCAUAGACUGCAAUGGGCUGUGCCAGGGCCAGGGAGACACAUCUGGCCUUGCUCUGCCUGUCCCUGGGGGGGCCAAAGAGGGCCUCAGACACAAAUGUCAAAGCCCAAGUGCCUGGACCUUUCGCAGGGAGGACCCAGUGUGCGUUGAGCCUGGCUCCAUCAAGAACAAGCGGAGUGAUGUGGAGCAGUGCACGUCUUAGAAGCGUGCAUGCUUCCAAAGCUGCUCAUUGAAGCAUGACGAAACACAUAGGACAUUCCAUUCUUAGAGUUCACUGGAACCUAAGGGCUUGGGGUGGGUCAUCUUGAGCACUGCCCUUUGAGGGGUAGUGUUGUGAAGGGCUCCUGCCUGAUGGAUGAGGAGAAAGGAGGCUUCCUUCCCACCCCGUGCCCCCAUUUAGCAGGCAUGUGACCCCGUGAAGUUCCCUUAUCUGCCAGCAUCUCAGUUUCCCUGUCUGUAUGUCGAGGAAGGCGGACUCAAGGUCCACCACUCUGCGAAUUAUCUGUAUUCUGGGCAUUCUGUAGAGUACUCAUUAGAUGCUGACAGAGAAUAUUCAGGAGGCGUGGCUCACAGAGCAAGGAGUGGCCAUUUAUUGAGUCACUCCUGUGUUGUAGGGACAACGAUGGGCACUGGGAAUACAAGGGCAGCUAAGAUGCAGUCUUUACCCUUGAGAAGAUCAUAGUCCAGUAUAGGAGACACAAGCAGACAGUCAUGAUUCCAUGUGUAAAUGGCAUACAAUAUAGAGGUAAGUACAAGGUGCUUAUAGAAGCAUAAAGAAGGGAUGUAUUGCUGCCUCAAGAAGUGAGGGUGGUUUUCUAGAAAAGUUUGAUCUCCCUCUUGAGCAAGAACACAUUGCCAGGCAGAGAAGGGACUGAAGGAGGCAGGGGAGGUGUGUUUCAGGACGAGGGAGCCACCUGAGAGAAUUGUACUUGGAAAAUGACCAUUGUCUUCCCACCCACCAACAGUGGCUGCUACCCACAUUUGUGCCAUGGGAACCCAGCCCCGGGUCAUGGCUGAGUGGAUGAGGUGUAGAUAUCUGUUUUCAAAGCAGCUAGUUUAGAGCUCAUUCUGGGUUCUAUGACUUGUGGCCUGGAUUGAGAAGCCGAGCUAGCCAAGUCAGUCAUUGCUCUGGAUUCUGAAAUUGGGAACCGGAGACUGCUGGGCUUAUCUGGGGGAACUGAGAGGAUGAGUUUACAUGAAUGGGGGUGCUGAGGGAGUGUUGGGGUUGAACCUGGGUGUGCAAAGUCAUGAGGGAGAAUGAGCCACGGGGGAGUGGAGUGGGAAGGAGAGAUGAGGAAGGAGAGGCCUUACAGGGGGAAACAGAGUUCCUGUGCAUCUUCUUCCAAUGGGAGACUCUGAGAGGGGAUCAGCCUCCAGUUAUAGGAAACUUCUCAUUUCUGUUCUCAGGAGUCCUGUCAUUUUUACUGGGAUUCUUUUAUUUUCUUUGGAUUCAAUCUUACAAAGUUAAAAAAAAAUAAUUAUAUAGACAAAAUUUUUUUAAAGGUUUAUUUAUUUAUUUAUUUGUUUAUUUAUUUAUUUGAGAGAGAGAGAGAGAAUGAGCAGGGGAAGUGGCAGAGAGAGAGAGAAUCUUUCAAGCAGACUUUGCUGAAUGUGGAGCCCAACUUGGGGCUCGAUCCCAUGACCCAUGAGCCAAAACCAAGAGCUAGAUGCUCAAUGGACUGAGCCACCCAGGUGCCCCUAUAGACAAAAUUUUUUAAUUGAAUUGAAUUUUUAAAAAAGAUUUUAUUUAUUUAUUUGCCAGAGAGAGAGAAUGUGCACAAGCAGAGGGAGUGGUGGACAGAGGGAGAAGCAGGCUCCCCGCUGAGCAGGGAGCGUGAUGGGGGACUCGAUCCUAGGACCCUGAGAUCAUGACCUGAGCUGAAGGCAGUCACUUAACCUACUGAACCACCCAGGCGCCCCUAGACAAAAUUUUAACACACAUCCAUGUAGCUAUUACCCAGAAUUAGCAAAUGGUAGGAAUUUGUCAUGUUUGUUCUGGGUAAUUACAUUAUAAAAGAUAAAAAAUUACAAUUUAAAUUUAAUUUUGAAUAUUCUCUUUUUUUUCUUCCCUGGUCUCUCACUCUCUUCACAAAAGGAACCAAUUAGAAAUUUGGCCUGUAUCCAUGAAAAUUAUAUGAGGGGGCACUGCCUGUAUCAGAAAGGAAAAAGAUUUUUCAGAAGUGGGAGCUUGCAUCCAUGUCUCACUGACAAGAACCUUGUCACGUGAGAACUCCAUCAUAUGAGAGGGGCUGAAACCAAGUGUGUUUUGGGCUGCUGUUGCUUGUUCAAUCUGACGUACUGCUUGGAACAAAAAACGAUGAUGUUAAGAUGGAAACAGAGAAUACAUUUUGGAUGGCACCAAGGUCUUUUAGCCAGUGAGACAUAUUGGUCAACUUAUAGUUGUGGCUCUGGCACUUCUUAUACUUUUCUCCUUGUCUUUAGCAUUCCUCAUUCUCAAGACCAUCCGCCCAUGAGUCCAUUUAUUUGUGUGGAUUCUGCUGAGGGUCUAGUGUGUUCUGUCUCCAGCUUUGGAAGACUCAUGUCUUCUCUACCACCAUUUGCUUUUUCUGAAACAUUUUAUCGUAGCGUCCCAGACUCUUUGAUUUCUUAUUUAUGUUUUCUGUCUUUUGCCCCUUCUCCUAGAUUCUGGAUGAUUUCUUCAGAGGUAUUUUCUAGUUUUAAUUAUCUGUUGAGUUGUGUUAAAUUUCUGUUCAACUAUCCAUCAAGUUGGUUUUUUUUAAAUUAAUGAUUAUACUCUAUAUUUCUACACUUCCAAUAUGGUUGUUUUUUUGUUCUGAUUGCUCUUAUUUUGUAAGGUUCCAUUCUUGCCUUAUGGAACCCUUUUUUUUUUUCUUUAUCUCUUUGAACUUGAAAAAGGGAUUAUUUUAGGAAGCAGGAUUGACUAAGGACUUAUAAUUGUUAGAACUGAGUGAUGGGCAUAUAGAGCUUCUUUAUUUUCUCCAAUGCACGUGUUUGAAAUUUUCCAUUAAAAAGUUUUAAUGAUGAAUCCAUGGUUAUGAGCACAUAAGAACAUUAUUUUUCAAAGUUUACUAAGAUGCCAUUUGCCUGGUUUGGGGUUAUUCUCUGGUGUGUAAAGAGCAGAUUUAUUAAAGGCCCCUUUCAUUCCUCAGUUAUUAAUUCAGUGCCUACCACUUCUGUGUGAGAUAGCAGUGAACUACCGUAGCACUUACAUUCUAGUGGGGUGACAGAUAAUAAACAAAAAGAGAAAUUUGAGGUGAUUAAUAAAGUUACAUAUACAUAAAAAAGUUUUAAUGAUAAUAUUUAUUUUGGAUUUCAGUUUUUUCCCCUAGUUCUAGGGCCAGUAGGUGUCUCAUUUGUGGCAUCUGAGACUCAUUUCCCGCAUCACUGUUAUCAUUCCUUGAGCGUGAUUCUUCGGCAGGUGCUGCUUUCUGUGGGACAUGCAGAUGAACCAGGCUUUAGGAGUGGCCCCACAGGAAGGCUUUGGUUUUGCUCCUGCUUGGCCUGGAGGGUUUCACUAUUUAGCUUCUCUUCUUGGGCGCCUGGCAUCAUGUAGACUGUCCAAGUUUGGGCUCUGUGCACAUGCAUGGCCUAAUCCUGGGCUCUGACUCCUACUACAUAAUCCCUUUUCCAAGCAUAACCUUUGUGAAUGGCAAGCCUCUCUGGUGUUUACCCAGGCCAAUGGGCAGAAUUUUGUCAUUAUUUUCUCAGCCCUUUAUGAUUUAUGCAGGACCUUAUGCAGGUAGAUAGGAUCCAGCUCCUCUUGUGCUGGUCUCCUUCUCUUGAUCUUAUACCCAUCUUGCAGGCAGCAAAGCCAUGGAAACCUAUGUGGUCUGAACUGGGUUUCAUCUCCUACUAACUGCUGUGAAUCUGAGUUCCUUAUUUCUGGCACCUAGGGAUUUCUCUCUUAGUUUUAAACAUGCAUCAAGACCAAAAAAUUUAUUUUAUUACAUUUUACUACAUUCCUAUUUUUGGGCCAGAAGGAGGGGAGUGGGCUUGGCAGUCUGCUUAGGUCUGGACUUGGUCCAAUGUCAUUGCCUUUCCAAGAGCUCUUGGCAUCCUUGUAAUAAACUUCCACUUCUCUUAAGCUAGUUUGAGUGAGUAUCUGUACCCUGCAAUCAAAAGAGCUCUGAGUAGAACAGACAUGAUAUGGUCAGGGAAAGAUGAAGUGAUAGAAGAUAUAAAGAUGAUAAGCAGUUUUAUCUCUGGGAAUUUAGCAAAAGUUUUCAGCUGGGGAGUGAUGUGACUGAUUUGUGCGUGAGAAAGACACAGGAUGCAGCACUUGGAAAAUCAGAAUUCUUGGGGAUGGGGGCAGGGAAGAGAAGAGAGGCAGAAAGACUCUUUCUAUGACCAUAGCAAUAAUGCAGGUGAGAGGUGAUGAAGUCCUGAACUAAGGCAGUGGGUAUGUGGGUUUUUAGGAAAAAAAAGAUUAAAAUUGUGAGUAUUUGCCCUGCCUACAGUAGGCAUUUUUCAUGCGUUUUCCCAUUUACUGAUUGCAACACUCUGGAGAGUUCCAGAUUUAAUUAUUAUCCCAAUUUACAGAUAAGAAAUUACAAGCUCAGAGAGAUUAAGUAAUUUGAUCCAAGUCAUAUAACUAACAAGUGGCUGAGUCAAAAUUUGAAUUUAAGUCUCUAACACCAAAGCCCAUCCAUGUUCUUUUCUUUACAUAAAGACCUUUUCAGUAGGAGUUGGUAUAACUUAUAUGUGGAAAUGAGGAAGAAGGAAGAGUGGACAAGGACCCUUGGGGUUACUAACUUGGGGAGUUAACAACUGGAAAGGCUAUUAAUUGAGAGAAGGGAUACAGGAGGCAGAGCAUGCUUGGGGAGGAAGGAAAUUAGUCCAUUUUGUGCAGUGGCUGGAAGUCAUCUAGGUAGAGAUUUCUAGUAAAUAGCUGAAAAUAAGGGGCUGAAGCUGAGGAAAGAGUUCAGCUGGAGAUACAACCUUUGAGUCAUGAGCUUAUUCCUGGUUAUGGAAACCAAGUGAGAGGAUGAGAGUCUUUAGUAAAUUGGUGGAGUGAGAAGAGAACUAAGGGUGUACCAUGGGAGGUAUUAAUAUCUGAGGAGAGGGCAUAGAUGAAGCCAGGAAAGGAAUUGGGAAAUAUGGUUAAAAAAAAAAAGUAGGCAGAGUAUCUAUAGCGAGUAGAAUCUCAAAAACUAAGAGAAGCAAAAUUUCUUUAAGGGGUAUUUUCAAUACUAACAAAUGCUAAAGAGGUCAAACAGGAUAUAGACUGAAAAUAAGACAUUGGAUGUGCCAAUUUGGAAGUCAUAGAUGACCUUUGCAAGGACAGAGAAAAGGAGUGAUUAAUCCUGCCUGGGGCAGGCUAGAGAAAGGCUUCACUGAAGACUUGACAUUUGAGUUGGGCCAUGAAGCGUGGUGGGAUUGUGCCAGGCAGAGAAGAGGGUGAAAGGCAUUUCAGGCAAAGGGAACAACAUGAGGGGAAAACAAAAAUCCAAGCUAAGGCACAAUUUGGAAUUUAGUUAGAGCUCUUUGGAUUUUCAUAGGCAACAUCAAGUUGGCAGCACAAGUAUAUUAGGCCAUGUCUUGUUUUCUACAUUUUGGAGAAUCUUAUGGUUUCUCUUUUCCUGUAGACAUAAUAAUGGAGAUUGGGAAAUAUGAUUGGUGUCUUCCAAAGAGACAUAGGGUUCAAUCCUUUAGGAAAGCAGAGUUCUAAUCAAGCAGAGUGAGUGGGAAGUCUCUACAGGUACAUCUCACAGAGCAUGUCAUGAUUUGGAAGGGCAAUAAAUGCAGGCUGUUGCAACAAGUCACCCAAAGCUCUCCAUGGUUUGACAUAGUCAAAGUCUCAUCCUCAGGCAGAGUCUGAUGGGGUCCAGCAGCACUUGUGGGCAGCUCUCAUCCAUGCAGUGACUCAGAGAUCCGUGUUCCUUCCACAUGCGCUCUGAAAUCUCAGACCCUUUCACUCCCAGCAGGUGGAUGGGGAAAAAACCAUACAGAAAUCAUACUAGACACCUAGUCACCCCAGGAUGGAAGUGACACCCCACUGCUACUCACAUUUGUCUGCCCUAUUUAGUCAAACAGCCAACCUAGUGGCAAAGGAGACAGGGAAAUGUUUGUAAGCACGUCGAUAUUGUGAGCAUUAACUGUAUAUUCCAUUGAUUGAUAUUAACAUAUUGAUUAUUAAAGUAUUCUUUGUUUCCUUGGAAAAUGUAAAAUGCCUUAGGCAUUGUCCAUUUCCUAUGUUUUGGGGUAAGCCUGGUCAUCUGAUUCAGGGCCUAUCAUCUCAGUCUGUUUUACAAAACAAAAUUUCAUGUUUUUCAUGGGAAUGUAAAUUGGUGCAGUCACUGUGGAAAACAGUAUAGAGGGUCCUCAAAAAAUUAGAAAUAGAACUACCAUAUAACCCAGCAAUUCCACCUCUGGAUAUUUCACCCCCAUGUUCAGUGUAGCAUUAUUUACAAUAGCCAAGACAUGGAAACAACCUAAAUGUCCACUGACGGAUGAAUGGACAAAGAUGUUGCGCACACACACACACAUACACAGUGGAAUUUUAUUCAAUCAAAAAAAAAAAAAAAAAGAAGGGAAAUCCUGUCAUUAGUGAUUACAGGGAUGGACCUUGGGGGCCUUAGUCUAAGUGAAUUAAAUCACACAGAGAAAGACAAACUCUGUGCGAUAUCACUUAUAUGUGGAAUCUAAGAAACAAAAACUGAACUCAUAGAAUAAGAGAAGAGAUUGGUGGUUGCCAGAGAUGGGGGUAGAGGGUUUGAAAAAUGGGGGAAAGGUGGUCAAAAGGCACAUAAAUCCUGGACAUGUAAUACAACAUGGUGACUACAGUUGCUACGAGUGUAAAGCUUAAAAGUUCUCAACACAAGCUAGGUGCCUGGGUGGCUCAGUCAGUUAAAUGUCUGCCUUCGGAUCCGGUCAUGAUCUCAGGGUCCUGGGAUCAAGCCCCACAUCGGGCUCCCUGCUCAGCAGGGGAGUCUACUUCUCCCUCUCCCUCGGCCCCUCACCCCUACCCAUACUCUCUCUCUCAAAUAAAUAAAUAAAAUCUUACCAAAAAAAAGUUCUCAUCACAAGAAAAAACAUUUUUUUAACUUUAUGUGGUGAUUGAUGUUAACUAAACUUUUGCUAUUAUACAUGUACCGAGUGAUUAUGUUGUACAAUUAAAAAUAAUACAAUGUUUUAUGGCAAUUAUGUCUCAAUUAAAAUAAAAACAAAAAUUUCAUGUUACUAGAAUUCUUCCUUUACACUGUGAACAACUUUUGACCAUAGAAUUGUGCUUAUCAGUGUUAGCCAAAGUGAACUGAAUUUCAAAGUAGAUUCAGUUUGAUGGAUUCAUGGUGUAACGUUGUUGUGGUUAGUAGCUUGGAGAGCACCACCAUGCAGGAGACCCUUUUCGAGAAACAUCUAUGUCAACUCUGCAGACUGAAAAUGAAGAAAGAUUUAUUUCAUGUCAUGAUGGUACAAUAUCUUUUGUAUAUUUAACCAAGGACAUCUUAAUUUUUGUGUGUGAAUAAUAUUAUAAAAAUAUUAAUACAAAUUUUAAGAAAGAAAAAAAAUCCAUGCCUAAUUCCUUU